AUGGCGUCCCCCUCCGACGCUCACUCCGCCACGGGCGGCAGCGGCGCCGCCGCGGCUGCACGAUCGGAUCUGGGUGACUUUCUGGAAAAGUUGGAUCUGAACGACGAUGACUUUGCGGAUGUGGAGAUCGAUGAGGAUGAUCCUGAGAUUCAAGAGAGUGUCCGCUGGCUUGCCCUGGCUAGGGUUCAUACUAACAGGAAUUUUAGCCCAUCAGCCUUCUACAAGGACAUGAGGGCGGCAUGGAACCCUGCUAAGGAAAUAAGAUUUAGGCCUGUUGGCCCUAAUCGAUUCGUCGUCCAAGCAUGA
rnacentral:rRNA from 1 species